CGCGGAGCGGUGCGCCGCGGCCGCCCCGGAGCUCGGCGCCGAAGCCGCCGUCCCGCGGGCCGCGAACGGUGUUUGUAAUUUCUACGUUUUUACACGUUCGUUUAUUUGUUUUUAUUUUUCGCGCUCCGUGCUCCGCGCCGCGGGACGCGAAGGGCGAGGGGGGAAACGCAGCCGUCGCCUCGCCGUUUACUCGAGAGAAAUCGGGGCGAGCAGCGAGAGGAGCUCCCGAGCCCGGCCCCGCCGUGCCGCCCCGCCGCCGCCCGCAGGAAAAGCGGCCUUCUGGUUUGAGCGCGCGUGUGAUGGCGCUGCCUUCGAAAUACAGACGCUCCGGCUGAAAUCCGCAUCGACGCUUCUCGCUGCAGCCUCGGGGCGUCCGCGCUGUAAGGCUCCGGCCGUUCGUGCCGGCGCACCGAGACGCCGACUCCGGACUGCGUCACGGAGCAGCUUCAGCCGCACCGCCGCGCGCGUAGCACCCCGCCCCCCCGUGACAGUGCUGAUGGGCCCGCUGGCACGGACAAGUGUAGCUGAAGAAAUUAAUGUACUUUCCCGACCCCGGAUCCCGGUGCCCGCACCCGAGCGCGUUGCAGAGGGCCGCCCGGCGCUGGGUUUGAGAGCGGCCCGAGAAGGAGACGCCCUUAGGACGGAUCGUAGAUCGUAGACCGGGGAGGUUCCGGCGGGCACAGCGCGGCUCGGCUGGGAGCGGCACGGGGUGACGGCCGAGAGCCCCGGGCGCCCCGACGGCGCGGGCGGCCCUCGGCGUCACCGCGGCCCCUUCGGGGCUGAUCCCGUGGCCCCGGGUGGGCAGCGAGAGAACGAACCAACGUGUCCUUGGGCCAGAGGGGACGUGACACCGGCCGCCUGUUCUCCUGCCUCUCACGGCCCCGCAUCUUCCCAGCUCCCAGCGCAUUGAGCCCUAUCGUUUUGAUCCCUGGCAAUAAACUCAGGGCCUUCAGCAAUUAACUCACGCUCUUCAUCAAACUGACACUCCGUAUAGGGAAGGUUGUUAUUUCCUAGGCUUAUGAAGAGCAUCUUCGAGGGAAAGCCUGCUUGCUUUGUUCCCAUCGUGGGCUCUGUGCCCCGUCCUGGCCAUGUGCUGUCCCCUAGCCCAGAUGCCAGCCCUAGGGGCUCUCCAGCAGUCACACCCUCCUUGGUGCAUCUGAGGCCAGGUCCCACCUUAUCUUUAGGUAAAACAUGAAUUUGUAGAGUGGCUUUGGCCCGUCCAUCCUGUGGGUCACACCUGGACAUGCUGAGGGAUGCCUUCCUUGGGAGAGCUUGUCUGGUGAGGUGAAAGAGAAGAUGUGUUCACUGUCAUCUGUUAACUGCAGAAUCAUUUAUGUUGGAAGACAUCACUAAGGCCACCCAGGCCAACAGUCAACCCAUCACCACCAUGCCCACUAGACCGUGUCACUCAGUGCCACAUCUACCCUUUUCUUGUAAUGCUGCCGAGUGUCUGCAAACUGGAUAUCUGAAACCACAGAACAAUGUAAAUACACAUUUUUUAAAAAAGGAAAGAAUUUAAAAAGAUAGAUGCUAAGCCAUUCUGGAGAUUUAAAUCAUAAAACUUUAAUCGAAUUAAUAAGUUCAAAUCUGUUCCUAGAUAUAGGCUAUUUCACUGAGCUUUAAUGUAUUUCCCCUUAAGAAGAUACUCUGUAAUUUAUGAUUGCUUGUGUAGAGGAUACAAUAGUUUGCAUAAAAAAAUGGAACUGGAGGCUCUUUGGCUGUGUGGUGGUGCUGGAGCCUCAUUUACCAUCUCCGUUAAAACGUACAUCUCUCUCUGACUCCAAAAUCUUUCCUACAGAAUUGCAAGCCCAGGCUAUGAGCUGGGAUUUAUACAGUUGUUUCUGGAAUUGGUUCUGAAAGCACGCUACAAUAAAAACUCGAUUGCAGGACUGCAGCUCCUUGUCCUGAAGGAAAUGAAGGCGCUCUCCAUUUCGGAAAAGGUGGCUAACCCGAAGAAGAAAAAGAAAAGGAGUUUCCAGUUCUCUCAUUAAGGAGCACCUGCCCUUGGAACAGCUUACGUUCCGUGCCAAGUUGGACAAGGACUUAUUGGAAGAUAAAUGGAAGUCAAUACGAGGCUUUCUCAAAGUAAACAGAAAGGAGGUUUUUCUCCUCUCUGUACAAAUGGCCCCUCUCCACACCUCCUCCUGGGCCCUGAAAGGCACCGAAGGAAAGGUUAUCUCAGCCACUCCUGCGCCAAGUGAUAAUUAAAAAUAAUAGCUCAACCCAAAGAUGCUGAUGGAGGACAGGGUAUCUGUAACAUGCCAAACUUGCAUGGAUUUUUCUGUUCGGAUGAGCAAAGUGCUUGGGUUUGAUGCGUACCCACAGGGCGCACUGAGUACGUGUGUUGCCUGCUGCUCAGCCAUGGGAUCCGUGUUCCCACCCCUAGAGUUGUUUGACUCCCUCAUCUCUGUCCCAUCACUGGGAGGGUGAGGAAGGCCAUGCUAGAGCAUCUAGGCCAGAGGCUGAUGCCAUCUGUGUGAGCCGAAGUCCGGACUGACAUCCUGCGGUGGAGCUUGGCUGAAGGUGGCAUUGCCCUUUGGUUGCAGGGAGGCAGGGUGGACCAGGAUGGCUUUUCCCUUCUGAGGUGACAGCUCUGACGGCCAUGUUGGGCUGCUGGGUGAGCCCACGCUGCUCAUUCCCGCUUAAGCCUGGGUAUGCCAGGCUGUCUGGAGGCCAUCGCUGCCCUUCAGUGUGAGCCGUGAGCUGGGGCAGAGGGCUUGCCCCACCAGGCCUGCCCUGCUGCCCACUGAGAGCCCCGCUGGCACCAGCUUGUUGGGUGAUCUUUCUGACAGGCAGAAAAAGCACAGUUGUUUGCUUAUUUUGCUUUAAAAAUAGAUCUCUAAAUAUGUGAGCGACAGUUGUGCGUGUCUGGAGCCUGGUGCCCGGGGCAGGCAGUAGCACCAGUGACCACAGACAUGGCGUGGGCUCAUCGGGGCACUGGCAGUGGCAGUGCUGGGAAUGCUGAUGUGAUAAAACCACAUAGAAUUCCAUAAAUUUUCCCUUCCCAUCGUGGGUGGGAGGAUGGAGCUGUUGUGCCCACAGAAUGUGCAGGACCCCAAUAGGCUGCACCACCAGAGGGUGGGGUACCUAAAACUGGGGUGGCGUGGAGGGGCUGGUGUAUGAUAACAGUGACAAGCUGGAGACAUUCUGCUUUACACUGACACUUUUU
ensembl:lncRNA